rnacentral:piRNA from 1 species
UCAGGACCUUGGAGCUAGGCAGCGAA